rnacentral:sRNA from 1 species
GUAUGUUUGUGCCCAAGCAGGUGACGAUUUUCUCUCCACUGACUCCAGUCAAGGACUUUCUGCUUCCAGAUUUCAGGAUUGGAUUUGGUAGACAUUGCUGUAAUCACUAUAAGGGCAUGACACAGAGACUUCAGUGCCUUUGGGAUGUCCCCAGAGUGCCACUUUACCCUAUUAUGGUGCUGCUUUUAAGAUGACUGUAUCACAUGGAGAUGAAGUUUAUUUCAUGAUCUCACUGUAACUCCAAAGGAUACAGAUUACAGAAGGUAGGAAAAUAACUCUACCAGAGAGGACUAUGGCAGAUAUCACUAAAUUUAUGUAAAUUUAUAAUUUAUUCCAGACUAGCAUGAUUAUUAAGUAAAAACAGUGAUCAUUCAAUAAAGUCCCACUGUGAAAUCUCUCAUAGAAUUCUGUGCUUGUGCUUGGAGACAGACAGUUUACCAUGUAAUGAAUGUGGACAUUUCUACCAUCUUACUUUUCAUUGAAAUAUAGUUAUGCACAAGUCUAUUUUAAAGCCCAAUUGUUUCCACUAUGAUAGGAAUAAUUGUUCUCACCUGUCAGUAUUUAAUUUCUCUGAGUUAAAUAUAAUUAAUCCUUUUAAAGUUUCCUUAAUGAGUGAUUCUAUAACUGGAGGGAAAGAGCCAAAACGUAUGAUUGACCAUGACUUAAAAUUCUUCAUGUGGGUGUUAUUUCUCUAGGUGUAAAACAUUUCACAGAUACCUCCACACCUGGCGAAAGUGAUGUACCAGCAUCAAUAUUUGAAUUUUAAUUUGAAAAUUAGGAUACUCACAGUGUUAAUGGCUUGUUCUGUAUUCAAGUAACAAAAUCAUUAAGUUUUUCUUACAGGUGUGUUUCAUGCUCCAAUCCCUUCCUUAAUCUACAAUGGCAAUGCGCAUACCUAGGAAUUUCUAUUCUACUAUGAAAAGUGGUCAUCUUCAAGUCCUGAUUCUUCCUUUCUAUAACUUGCUAUACAUUUGUGAAUUGUCACCUUUGUCUUUAAGCUUCUAAACAUCUAGUGAAAAAAAUAAAGACAUUCAAGUAACUCUUCUCUAUCAUUUUUUACAGAUAUGUGUAUGACUUUUUGUUACAUGAUGAAGCCAAUGGAGACAGAAUCCAGGCAUCAUCCAUCUUCACUCUCUUUAGACUUAGAGCAGUCCUAAUCAUGUAGCACAGAAUAAAUAUAUGAAAGAAUAUUGUUAUCUAAAGCCUGGACUUUUCUUUAUGGUUUCUUUACUAUUUCUCUAACAAGAAAGUCCUGUCAAAAUGGGUGUUGCAGUAGGCUUAUGCUACAGGCCUACAGGACGAGGGACAAGUCUGCGUAGGAGCAAGAAGUAGAGCAGGACUCCUGCUCCAAGACAGAGCUGAUAAAGUCUCAGCCAAUGCCAUGAAGAGACCCAGAAAAUUCAUUGUUGGAGCAUCCUUAAGUUUUAAUACCCCUCAUCCCACAUUGCGUAGAAGUAGCCAAAUCUUGAUGUUCUUAAAAAUGAAACCAAUUACAAGGAAGCUUGGGCUUGAAUACAUAAUAUAAUAUCACUAAUCAUAGCUGGUCAGCAACAAGCAUUUCAGGGAUGCACAUGAAUAGGAUACAUAAACUCUUAAACCACUGCUGUAAUGUCCUCUUCUAUUAAAUGAUAAAUAUAGAAGAAGAUACAUAAAGUUUUUAAACUUAAAAAAGAAGAUAAUUUCUUAAACCCAAUUUCCAUCAAGCAUGUCAGAACUCUUCAUGUUCCAGUUGAUGAUUUACCAAAUAACAGUAAUCCCUAAACAAAUUUAUCAAAGCCUUUUUCUUCCUGUUUCCUUCCCCCCAAUAAUUCAUUGCAAAGGUGAAGAUAUCGACUAGAACAUGGGUCUGUGGCUAGAAUAGAGCCUAAUGAAGUUAUCCACUACAGUGAUA